GACGAACGCUGGCGGCGUGCUUAACACAUGCAAGUCGAACGGAAAGGCCCUGCUUUUGUGGGGUGCUCGAGUGGCGAACGGGUGAGUAACACGUGAGUAACCUGCCCUUGACUUUGGGAUAACUUCAGGAAACUGGGGCUAAUACCGGAUAGGAGCUCCUGCUGCAUGGUGGGGGUUGGAAAGUUUCGGCGGUUGGGGAUGGACUCGCGGCUUAUCAGCUUGUUGGUGGGGUAGUGGCUUACCAAGGCUUUGACGGGUAGCCGGCCUGAGAGGGUGACCGGCCACAUUGGGACUGAGAUAAGGCCCAGACUCCUACGGGAGGCAGCAGUGGGGAAUAUUGCACAAUGGGCGGAAGCCUGAUGCAGCAACGCCGCGUGCGGGAUGACGGCCUUCGGGUGGUAAACCGCUUUCGCCUGUGACGAAGCGUGAGUGACGGUAAUGGGUAAAGAAGCACCGGCUAACUACGU
rnacentral:rRNA from 1 species